CCUGCCCCUAGAGGGGUUAUGAGUGUGGCUGCUGUGUCACAUGUGCAUUAUUAGGUGCAUAAAGGAGAUGGGCUAUGUCUAUGCUCUGUGUUAUGACCUAUAAGUGUCUGAAUAAUUAGUGUAGCCUAACAUU